UCACUUAUUUUUACAAAUUUAGUAAGACAGC
rnacentral:piRNA from 1 species